CUGAGGCUUUGACAUCAACAGUUUCACUUUGUUCCACCUUUGGUGAGCAAAACAGCUAAUAACGUAGCUAAAUACUGACAUUAUCCUCAAUCGAGAUAUCUGUUCAUAUCUAAAUACAUUGCCCAGUUUCCUAAGGACUUGAAGCGAAGCUGCCAUCUCUAUAGGCACCAUCUAGGAACGGUGUGUCGUGUAGAAUAGGAAAACCUUUACUGAAACUUCAAAUCAAACUAUGGUGGAGCCGCAGAAGCACUUCGGUGCAGGGUGGUUAUUUACAUAGUGAUUCAGAAAGGAACUGUCCUGCCAUAAAAGUAUACAUUAUGGGGACAGCUAAACAGUGUAGCUGUUUAUCUGUAUCAUUGACCCCUAUGGAGAAUGUAGCUGUUUGACCCCUAUGGAGAAUGUAGCUGUUAAUCUGUAUCAUUGACCCCUAUGGAGAAUGUAGCUGUUUAUCUGUAUCAUUGACCCCUAUGGAGAAUGCAGCUGUUAUCUGUAUUAUUGACCUCUAUGGAGAAUGCAGCUGUUAUCUGUAUUAUUGACCUCUAUGGAGAAUGCAGCUGUUAUCUGUAUUAUUGACCUCUAUGGAGAAUGCAGCUGGGAUCAUGUUCCUGAAUUCCCAGAAUGCCCUGUUAGGGUGAAAGAGGUUGAGGAGUCAAGGAUCAGGGCUGUACAGUAAGUCUCCUAUGUGGAGGUGAUGAAGAGAGUUGAAGGGAAAAGAGGCCACAGUUCUGAAGAAGAGAUGGAGGUGGAUGAACCACAACCAGUUGUAAAUGUUGUACGUCAAUCAAGUGAUCUGGAAACACUUAUUGUGGAGAAGGUGGUUUUUGUAACAUUUACAUCCACAGUUAUUAAUUGUACUGCAGAAGUGUCCAAGAAGUUGGAAAUCAUUAUAACUGCAGCCGAGAAGUUUUUGGGCCUCCAAGACUUAAUGGCAGAAGGACUUGAAGGACGACUGUCACCAGGAAAUGUCCCUCAUCACAGGAUCCUUCUGAGCCUGGGACCUGAUUCAAAUAUAAAAGCAGGCUGAUUUACUUUAAUUAACAUGAUAGUUUGUAUGGAAUUUGUCAUUUUAUUUUUGUUGAUUAAAUGUUUAUCCUGUUUGGAGACGUAUUAUCCACCUGAAACGUAGGUGGCGGAAUGAACAUAUUGUUGCGAACACAAUUAUACCAUAGAAGAAUCUCGCGUCCUUAUUCCAGCAAACCCGGAAGUUACAGAGACCGAGAGAGGAACAGAAACAAUCACACAGAGCGCUACUCCAAAACAUUGAUAAGUACAAUAAACGUCACAUGAAUAAAACAUGAAUGAUUUUCUGCCUCAUCCUUGUACCAUAUUGUUACUGAAGUUAAGAAUAAUGUGUGCAUUGUAUGAACUGAGAUCGCUAAAUUAACUGUGUGUCGACACAUUGCUGACGGAGCUGAAAACGGAGCAGGGAGGAGGUGUGUUAGUUUACCAAAUGCUGUCCGCGGCCAGUGACUGACUUCUCCGUCAAACGGUGAUAAUGUAUUGGGCCUGUAGCUUACUGCACAAAACUCAUUGCUACAGUAAUGUUUUUAAUUGGUUAAUGUUGUAUAGGCGUACGUUUUUUAAGUCGCGUUAAAAAGAAAAGCUGAUUGGUAGAUCUCGGCUUGCAUUUUGACUCAAAGGUUGGUGACGACUGUUCUAGAGUUUUCCCUGUUAACACCAUCAACGUGUCCCUUUACUCUGGUAAACGUGAUCAAUGGAAUAUUAUCCACUUUCACUGCAACAAACCGAAACUAAACCAACUAUGUAAGAGAUGUUGUAGACAGGACGCAUCGGAGUAGGAUUCUAUUGCAUUGAUACGACUCAUCCUGUACUCGACACAGACCGGUGCGGCAGAAAAUCCAGUCGAUCUCCAGGCUCAAAGCAUCAGUCCACCAGCUGAAUACUCAGUCAGACUGGUGGAUGGGACCACUUCCUGUUCUGGGACAGUGGAAGUCUUCUACAGAGGAGAGUGGACAGGUCUAUGUUCUAGUUGGUGGAGCAUAAUGAAAGAGGCCAAGGUUGUGUGUAGAGAGAUGGACUGUGGGAAUCCUGUAUCUGAAUCUAGAGGACCUCUGAUUGAAGAUGGAAGAAGAGGAGUCACACUAUUUAGUAUUUGUCGUGGAAAUGAGUCUUCUAUUAGACAGUGUGACAUCUUAGGAGAACCUGGUUUCUGUGAUGGUGGAUAUUAUCAUCAUGUGACCUGUUCAGAGUCUGUGCGGCUUGUGGAUGGAGCUGGUCUCUGCUCUGGGAGAGUGGAG